rnacentral:rRNA from 1 species
GACGAACGCUGGCGGCGUGCUUAACACAUGCAAGUCGAACGGAAAGGAGAUGCGUUUGUGGCGUGCUCGAGUGGCGAACGGGUGAGUAACACGCGAGUAACCUGCCCUUGACUUUGGGAUAACUUCAGGAAACUGGGGCUAAUACCGGAUAGGAGCUCCUGCUGCAUGGGGGGGGAUGGAAAAUUUCGGCGGUUGUGGCUGGACUCGCGGGUUAUCAGCUUGUUGGUGGGGUAGUCGCUGACCAAGGCUUAGACGGGUAGCCGGCCUGAGAGGGUGACCGGCGACAUUGGGACUGAGAUACGGCAGAGCCUGCUAUCGGAGGCAGCAGUCGAGAGUAUGUCACAAUGACCGGAAGCUGGAUGAGGCGACUCGCCGAGCGUGAGGCCCGGCUUCGUGUUGUAAACCGCUUUGGCAGGUGACAAAGCGUGAUUGACGGUAAUUGGUAAAGAAGCAACGGCUAACUACGUG